rnacentral:tRNA from 1 species
ACCCCGGUAGCUCACCUGGACAGAGCGACGGAUUCCUAAUCCGUAGGUAGGAGGUUCGAGCCCUCUCCGGGGUACCA